CCUACGGGAGGCAGCAGUGGGGAAUAUUGGGCAAUGGAGGAAACUCUGACCCAGCGACGCCGCGUGCGGGAUGAAGGCCUUCGGGUUGUAAACCGCUUUCAGUAGGGAAGAAGCGAAAGUGACGGUACCUACAAAAGAAGCACCGGCUAACUAUGUGCCAGCAGCCGCGGUAAUACAUAGGGUGCAAGCGUUGUCCGGAAUUAUUGGGCGUAAAGAGCUCGUAGGUCGUUUGUUACGUCGGAUGUGAAAACCUGAGGCUCAACCUCAGGCCUGCAUUCGAUACGGGCAAACUAGAGUUUGGUAGGGGAGACUGGAAUUCCUGGUGUAGCGGUGGAAUGCGCAGAUAUCAGGAGGAACACCAAUGGCGAAGGCAGGUCUCUGGGCCAAUACUGACACUGAGGAGCGAAAGUCUGGGGAGCGAACAGGAUUAGAUACCCUGGUAGUCCAGACCGUAAACGGUGGGCACUAGUUGUGGGAACCUUCCACGGUUUCUGCGACGCAGCUAACGCAUUAAGUGCCCCGCCUGGGGAGUACGAUCGCAAGNUUAAAACUCAAAUGAAUUGACGGCNGAGAGNGCGAGACGACGACGAGGAGAG
rnacentral:rRNA from 1 species